GCGGACGGGUUAGUAACGCGUGGGAACAUACCCUUCUCUAUGGAAUAGCCAUUGGAAACGAUGAGUAAUACCAUAUACGCCCUUCGGGGGAAAGAUUUAUCGGAGAAGGAUUGGCCCGCGUUAGAUUAGAUAGUUGGUGGGGUAAUGGCCUACCAGGUCUACGAUCUAUAGCUGGUUUUAGAGGAUGAUCAGCAACACUGGGACUGAGACACGGCCCAGACUCCUACGGGAGGCAGCAGUGGGGAAUCUUAGACAAUGGGCGCAAGCCUGAUCUAGCCAUGCCGCGUGUGUGAUGAAGGUCUUAGGAUCGUAAAGCACUUUCGCUAGGGAUGAUAAUGACAGUACCUAGUAAAGAAACCCCGGCUAACUCCGUGCCAGCAGCCGCGGUAAUACGGAGGGGGUUAGCGUUGUUCGGAAUUACUGGGCGUAAAGCGUACGUAGGCGGAUCAGAAAGUAUAGGGUGAAAUCCCAGGGCUCAACCCUGGAACUGCCUUAUAAACUCUUGGUCUUGAGUUCGAGAGAGGUGAGUGGAAUUCCAAGUGUAGAGGUGAAAUUCGUAGAUAUUUGGAGGAACACCAGUGGCGAAGGCGGCUCACUGGCUCGAUACUGACGCUGAGGUACGAAAGUGUGGGGAGCAAACAGGAUUAGAU
rnacentral:rRNA from 1 species